GAUGAACGCUGGCGGCGUGCCUAAUACAUGCAAGUCGAGCGAACAGACGAGGAGCUUGCUCCUCUGACGUUAGCGGCGGACGGGUGAGUAACACGUGGAUAACCUACCUAUAUGACUGGGAUAACUUCGGGAAACCGGAGCUAAUACCGGAUAAUAUAUUGAACCGCAUGGUUCAAUAGUGAAAGACGGUUUUGCUGUCACUUAUAGAUGGAUCCGCGCCGCAUUAGCUAGUUGGUAAGGUAACGGCUUACCAAGGCAACGAUGCGUAGCCGACCUGAGAGGGUGAUCGGCCACACUGGAACUGAGACACGGUCCAGACUCCUACGGGAGGCAGCAGUGGGGAAUCUUCCGCAAAGGGCGAAAGCCUGACGGAGCAACGCCGCGUGAGUGAUGAAGGUCUUCGGAUCGUAAAACUCUGUUGUUAGGGAAGAACAAAUGUGGAAGUAACUAUGCACGUCUUGACGGUACCUAAUCAGAAAGCCACGGCUAACUACGUG
rnacentral:rRNA from 1 species